rnacentral:rRNA from 1 species
AUUGAACGCUGGCGGCAGGCCUAACACAUGCAAGUCGAGCGGAUGAAGGGAGCUUGCUCCUGGAUUCAGCGGCGGACGGGUGAGUAAUGCCUAGGAAUCUCCCUGGUAGUGGGGGAUAACGUCCGGAAACGGGCGCUAAUACCGCAUACGUCCUGAGGGAGAAAGUGGGGGAUCUUCGGACCUCACGCUAUCAGAUGAGCCUAGGUCGGAUUAGCUAGUUGGUGGGGUAAAGGCCUACCAAGGCGACGAUCCGUAACUGGUCUGAGAGGAUCAUCAGUCACACUGGAACUGAGACACGGUCCAGACUCCUACGGGAGGCAGCAGUAGGGAAUAUUGGGCAAUGGGCGAAAGCCUGAUCCAGCCAUGCCGCGUGUGUGAAGAAGGUCUUCGGAUUGUAAAGCACUUUAAGUUGGGAGGAAGGGCAGUAAGUUAAUACCUUGCUGUUUUGACGGUACCAACAGAAGAAGCACCGGCUAACUUCGUG